AUAGGGAGACUGCGCUUUUUAUAGGCGUUCGCAGAUGGCAUAACAACCGAAAAUCCGUCAAUAGUUGUCCAGGCAAAUCCUGCAGGGACUGAAUAGGACGAAAGGGCUGAGACAUACCAAAGUCCAGCUGUAUCAACGUUUGCAUUGAAAUCAUUGCUUGGGGUAUCAGUUGUGACACUAGAGUCUGCCGUUGUAGCUGCAGAAGAACUUGAUGAAGCGGUAGCGGAAGAAGUAACUGUGGACGAACCUGAUGCUGCAUCUGAAGAUAAUGUUGCUGCGGAUGCGGCGGCAGCAAUUGUAGAAGACGCGGUGCCUUCUACAGAGGAUGUAGAAGAAACAGCUGUCACAGAAGACGUUGGAGAACCGGUUACAGAAGCGGUAGCUAUAGAAGAUGAUAAAGAACCGGUUAUAGAAGCAGUAGCCACAGAAGAUGUUGAAGAAUCAGUUGCAGACGCAGUAGCCACAGAAGAUGUUGAAGAACCGGUUACAGACGCAACAGCUAUAGAAGAUGUUGAAGAAUCAGUUGCAGACGCAGUAGCCACAGAAGAUGUUGAAGAAUCAGUUACAGAAGCGGUAGCCACAGAAGAUGUUGAAGAACCGGUUACAGACGCAGCAGCUAUAGAAGAUGUUGAAGAAUCAGUUGCAGACGCAGUAGCCACAGAAGAUGUUGAAGAACCAGAUACAGAAGCGGUAGCUAUAGAAGAUGUUGAAGAACCAGUUGCAGAAGCAGCUGUUGAAGGGUCAACUUCGCUGCUUGAAGACCAGCUUGAAGCAGAAGAAGAAGAGGUGGGUGUAACAGAAGCAGCUACUGAGCUCGUAAUUGCACUACUUGAUGUUUCAGCAGUCCAGCUAGAAGAUGUUGCGGAAUCUGUCCCUGAACCAACAACCGAAGACGUUUCACUACCAGUUGAAGUUACAGCAGGAGCAACUGAACUGGUAACCGGAAUACUGGUGGAUAAUGAAGUGGUAGAAGACAGGGAUGACGAUACUACUGAGCUGCUCGGACCUUGUGAAGUUAAAGCAGUUGUACUAGUAACCGAGUCUGUAGUAUAAGCAGUAGACGUAACGGAAGAAGUACUCUCUAAAUUAAGGGAAGUAAUAGAGUUACUAUUGACACCUUUGUUCGCAGCCAGACUAGUUGUUGACGAAGAGCUAGUUGUUGAAGAAACAGUUGGAGCAUGAAACGAAGUGUUAUAUUCAUUCGUAGAAGACGUACUGAUGGUCCGGGAUGAGCUAGAGCUCAGGUAUAAGCUCGUAGCAAGGGUCGAAGAGUUGGUAAGUUGACUCUGAGACGAUGCGGUAGCAGAAGGCAAAUUAGAUGAGAUGUUGCUAACUGUAGUAGAGGAAACAAUUGCGCUUGAGCUAGUAAUUGAAGAAAGCAAUGUAUUUGAAGAUGAAGCAGUAAUCAGAGUGCUGGAAUUAACUGACGUAGGAAUAGCACUUGAGCUUGACAUUGCUGUCAACGAAAGUGAAGAAUGAGUUAUGUUAGAAAGGCUUGCCGAGUAAGUGCUCACAAGAGAAGAUGAAGAUGGUAUUGGACUGCUUGAACUAGAAGCAACCGGCGAACUUGAAACAAUUAAAGAGGAAGAUGAUGAUACUAGAGUCGAUGAUGAAGGGAUAACAGAGGAUGAAUAUGUAGAAAGUGAGCUAGAAAUGGGUAUCGUAGAAAUGCUUGAUGAAAGGAUACUAGAGGAUCCAGAAAUUAUAGAACUUGAGGAAAUCAUAAGGGAACUAGUGGACGGAGUUGGAGAGCUCAAAAUUGUAGAUGAAGAAGAGAUUGACGAAGAGAUGCUCGACGGAGAAGACGUUGAAGCGGACGAGAAUGUUGAGGAAGUGCUCGAGGAAGAGAUUGACAAAGAGGUACUCGAUGGCGAAGACGUUGAAGAGCUCAAAAUCGAUGAGACCGACGAAAAUGUUGAGGGAAUACUCGAAGAAGAAAUCCCUGAAGAGAUUGUAGUUAUUGAGGAGCUGAAAUCAGACGAAGAUGAGGUUGGUAUUGAGGAGCUACUAGAUAAAACUGAGGUCAUGGGACUAGAGAUGAUUGAACUCGAAGGUGUUGAACUACUAGUCGAAGGAAUAGCUGAGGAACCAGAAAGCAGCGUGCUCGAAACUUCAGAAACUACCUCUGAACUAGUGGACAAGGUUGAUUGAGGAGAACUCGCUGAGGAUGAAGAUGAAAUUGGAGUCGAUGACUGAGGCUGUACUGAGCUAGAAGAAGGAACGGAAACAGACGAGGAGGCAACAGAAGCUGUGGGCUGUUUAACUGAGGUUGAAAUACUCGAAACCGUAGUGGUUUGAACCCUUGUGGAGGCAGGCUGAGUAACAGUUGAUA
rnacentral:lncRNA from 1 species